AAAUUUGAAAUACUAAAAAUGGAAUGACAGACAAAAUGGAAUAAAAACUGAAACUAGUUAAUUCCACUCAUCCCAUUCAUUCAUGAACAUUUUUUGCAGGGAAUAAAAAGAAUAGAUUUUACAAAGGAUUUGUUCUUUUGUUCCAUUCCAAAAUUGGAAUGUAUGGAAUUGGUUUAACAAAGGCUUUUAUGCUAACUGGUAAAUAUUUCAUGGAAUUCAAUGGAAUGAUGCAU
rnacentral:lncRNA from 1 species